UUUAAUUCGAUGCAACGCGAAGAACCUUACCUACUCUUGACAUCCAGAGAAUUCGCUAGAGAUAGCUUAGUGCCUUCGGGAACUCUGAGACAGGUGCUGCAUGGCUGUCGUCAGCUCGUGUUGUGAAAUGUUGGGUUAAGUCCCGCAACGAGCGCAACCCUUAUCCUUUGUUGCCAGCACGUAAUGGUGGGAACUCAAAGGAGACUGCCGGUGAUAAACCGGAGGAAGGUGGGGAUGACGUCAAGUCAUCAUGGCCCUUACGAGUAGGGCUACACACGUGCUACAAUGGCGUAUACAAAGAGAAGCGAACUCGCGAGAGCCAGCGGACCUCAUAAAGUACGUCGUAGUCCGGAUCGGAGUCUGCAACUCGACUCCGUGAAGUCGGAAUCGCUAGUAAUCGUAGAUCAGAAUGCUACGGUGAAUACGUUCCCGGGCCUUGUACACUCCGCC
rnacentral:rRNA from 1 species